rnacentral:tRNA from 1 species
GGGGUUGUGGCUCAGUGGUGGAGCCCUUGCCUAGCAUGCAUGAGGCACUGGGUUCGAUUCUCAGCACCACA